rnacentral:rRNA from 1 species
AUGGAUGGAUGGGAUCCUCCUCAUCUCAUCUUCGCCGCCGACGUGCAAGCAACUUGGAUCCAUCAUCGCCUUGCAACUGAGAUCCUCCUCAUCUCAUCUUCCCCGGCCUCCAGAAGAAGAUCUCGUCCUGUAAGCUUGCUGGUGGAAAACAACCACAAUAUGGAUAUUAAUUUCCAGUUGAUUCAAACUAUUACAAACAAUUUUGCAGAGGAUCAGAAGGUUGGCAACGGUGGGUUCGGAGAUGUUUACAGGGCAAUUUAUAAAGGGGAAGAGAUUGCCGUGAAGAAGUUUCACCCCUUGCAUGGACUCGAUGAUAAGCAAUUCGCCAUCGAGUUCUGCAACCUUAGUAAGGUAUGCCAUCAAAAUGUGGUGCGGCUAAUUGGCUACUGUUACGAGUCUCGGCACAAAUACACGGAGCUCAAGGGGGAACUUGUUUUCGGACAAACGGUGGAGCGAGUGCUCUGCUUCGAAUAUAUGCAAGGCGGAAGCCUCGAUAAACACAUCAAUGAUGAAUCUUGCGGACUUGAGUGGCCCACAUGUUACAAGAUUAUCAAAGGGACUGGUGAGGGACUCAAUUACCUGCACAGCUUGCAGGGAAAUCCUAUUUUCCAUCUGAACUUAAAGCCUGGUAAUAUUUUGCUGGAUAGAAGUAUGACGCCCAAAAUUGCAAAUCUUGGUGUGUCAAGACCUGUUGCUUCAACAGAUAAUCACGACGGAACACUUGGGUUCAUGCCACCGGAGUUCGUUGAUGGUGGCGAUAUAUCAAACAAGUUUGACGUGUUCAGUUUGGGCGUCAUAAUGAUAAAAAUACUCGCUGGAAAUAACGGCUAUUACAGAUGUUCUAAGAUGUCCCCCGAACAGUUUUUUGAGCUUGUAACUGAAAACUGGACGAAAAGGUUGCAGACAAUGAUGAGCUAUGCAUCACUGAAAGAGGACAUCCUACGAGUGAGGACAUGUGUUGAGAUUGCAUUAAGGUGUGUCGCCAUGGACCAAAAUAAAAGGCCUACCGUGAAGGAAAUUGUUCAUGAACUGGAGGAAGUCGAAGCCAAUAUCACAAUAAUGUCACACCUAACUGUGCAGACAGGAUCCGAGCGACACCAAGUGUCGUCACAACAUUUGAAUGAUAUCAGAGAAAAUUUCUCAAGGGAAUGA